UACGAAGGGUGCAAGCGUUAAUCGGAAUUACUGGGCGUAAAGCGCGCGUAGGUGGUUCAGCAAGUUGGAUGUGAAAGCCCUGGGCUCAACCUGGGAACUGCAUCCAAAACUACUGAGCUAGAGUACGGCAGGGGACAGUGGAAUUCCUAGUGUAGAGGUGAAAUUCGUAGAUAUUAGGAGGAACACCAGUGGCGAAAGCGACUGUCUGGACCAUUACUGACGCUGAGGCGCGAAAGCGUGGGGAGCAAACAGGAUUAGAAACCCGUGUAGU
rnacentral:rRNA from 1 species